GAUGAAGAACGUAGCGAAAUGCGAUAAGUAGUGUGAAUUGCAGAAUUCAGUGAAUCAUCGAAUCUUUGAACGCACAUUGCGCCCCUUGGUAUCCCGAGGGGCAUGUCUGUUCGAGCGUCAUUUCACCACUCAAGCCUGGCUUGGUGUUGGGCGACGUCCCCUUUGGGGACGCGCCUUGAAACGCUCGGCGGCGUGGCACCGGCCUUAAGCGUAGCAGAAUCUUUCGCUUUGGAAGUCGGGGCCCCGUCUGCCGGAAGACCUACUCGCAAGGUUGACCUCGGAUCAGGCAGGGAUACCCGCUGAACUUAAGCAUAUCAAUAAGCGGAGGA
rnacentral:misc_RNA from 1 species